rnacentral:tRNA from 1 species
GCGGGUAUAGCUCAGUGGCAGAGCAUGUGCUUAGCAUGCAUGGUGUGCUGGGUUCAAUCCCCAGUCCCACCA